rnacentral:rRNA from 1 species
AUUUAAAAUUAUCGUCUGAUUUUGGAAGCUAAGCAGGGUCAGGCCUGGUUAGUACUUGGAUGGGAGACCACCUAGGAAGACCAGGGGCUUUAGGCA